CUCAUUUUUGCCCUCCUUUUUU
rnacentral:misc_RNA from 1 species